rnacentral:rRNA from 1 species
UACGUAGGGGGCAAGCGUUGUCCGGAAUCAUUGGGCGUAAAGAGCGUGUAGGCGGCCACACAGGUCUGCUGUGAAAACUCGAGGCUCAACCUCGAGCUGUCGGUGGAAACCGUGUGGCUAGAGUCCGGAAGAGGAGAGUGGAAUUCCUGGUGUAGCGGUGAAAUGCGCAGAUAUCAGGAAGAACACCAAUGGCGAAAGCAGCUCUCUGGGACGGUACUGACGCUGAGACGCGAAAGCGUGGGGAGCGAACAGG